rfam:Mus musculus chromosome 6, GRC primary reference assembly.
GGAGGGAUGGCUCAGCAGUUAAGAGCACUGACUAGUCUUUCAGAGGUCCUGAGUUCAAAUCCCAGUAACUACA